UAGUCAGCAGGUCAACACAGAUGUCACAUGACUGUCUCCACCAAUCAGCGCGGCUCAUCCUUCCACGUGGCACCACCAACACCUCAGUGAGUGAGACCGUGAUGACGUCACAGCGUGUGUCAGGGGUGAUGUCACAGCGUAGCUCUGAUUGGACACUGGAGGACCGUGCUGUUAUUUGUACUGAGCGCUAUGGGUCGGGCAGCAUUCAGAGAUACGUACAGCGUGAAGAUGACACCAUCUCCUGCGAGAGACGCCACACACACCGCUACCACUCUAUAAAAGACUGCUUUGUGUCUCUCUUCCUCCCUCAUGGAUUCCCGGACAGUGUGAGUGAUGAUUACUUGGAGUAUCAGCUCUGGGACACCCUGCAGGCUUUCUCCAGUAGUGUUACCGGUUCUCUGGCGACUCAUUCACUUCUCCGCGGCUCAGGAGUUGGGGACGGAUCAGCCACCGUCACCGCCGCUACCAUCACCUGGAUCCUGAGAGGUGCCGGCUGUAUUAUGU